rnacentral:pre_miRNA from 1 species
GAGAUAAUUCAAACCUGCAAAACAACAGGACUCAAACAUUUCGCCAAACACCUCAUGUUUUCCCUUUGAAAAUAAUAAAUUUUUGUGAGGCUUGCUUUAGAUGAUGGUAUUCAAGUGCCACCGAAUUGAGGUUCAAUCCUUGACACUUAAUACCUUCAUCUAAACCAGCAUAACAAAAAUUUAAUAUUUUCAAAGGAGAAACAUGAGGUGCUUGCGAAAUGCUUGAGUCCUGUUGUUUGACAAGUUUGAAUUACCU